UAAUAAAUAUAUGCCGAUUUAAUAAUAUAUUUAAUAAAUAUAUGCAAAACAUAUACAAAAUUAAAUUUUCAUUAAAGAGCGCGUCUAAUUUGAAAGUUAAAAAAGAAGGAGCUUAUUAAUUACGUUUCAAAGAGUUAAGUGUUAAACGUUACACAACUUCAUAAUUAGGCCUCCAAUGAGUAGCCAACUUAUUCAUCAAAAAAUCCUUCUGUACUAUUGAUACACUUAUGUCUUUUACAUUUUGUAUAGAUAAUUAUAUUUCAGAUGUUACGUUAUCACAAAACUUAAAUGGAGAAAUGGGUGAUCAGAUUAAGAUAACUAUGAAGUCAGAUAUCAAUAACUGUGCAAAUAUUCUAGAGAGAAGAAAAAGAUUAUUAUCUUAUGUUAUGUAGCAGAGUAAUUCCACGUUUUACAAUUAAAAUACACGAAACAUAAAAAUUAAAUACUAUACAAAUCGAAAAAGUUCAAGUAUUUAAGCAUACUUCCAUUCGGGUACAAGAAAAUGGUAAAAGUAUAGUUUCCUAUAUGUAAUGGAAGAUUGCUGUGUCAAAUUACUAUAAUAUAUAUACUUAUAUCGAGACUUAAACUUUGGUUUGAUUAAAUAUAACAUAAUAACUGACGAUUUAGAAUAAUACGGACUUUAUAUAUUAUAUAUAUAUAUAUAUAAAAGAAAACAGAAAAGUUAUAACAUUAAACCGAUCUAUUUUAUCAA